rnacentral:tRNA from 1 species
CCCCUCGUAGUUCAAUGGAUCAGAACAACCCCGUCCUAAGGGGUAGAUAUAGGUUCGACUCCUGUCGGGGGGA